rnacentral:rRNA from 1 species
UGGCUCAGAACGAACGCUGGCGGCAGGCCUAACACAUGCAAGUCGAACGGAUGUAGCAAUACAUUAGUGGCGAACGGGAGAGUAACGCGUGGGAACCUACCUUUUGGUUCGGGAUAACGUCGGGAAACUGACGCUAAUACCGAAUAAGCCCCUUGGGGGAAAGAUUUAUCGCCGAUAGAUGGGCCCGCGUUAGAUUAGCUAGUUGGUGAGGUAACGGCCCACCGAGAAAACGAUCUAUAGCUGGUCUAAGAGGAUGAUCAGCCUCAUU